rnacentral:tRNA from 1 species
CGCGGGAUGGAGCAGUUGGUAGCUCGUCGGGCUCAUAACCCGAAGGUUGCAGGUUCAAGUCCUGCCUCCGCAACCA